rnacentral:rRNA from 1 species
UGGGGAAUUUUGGACAAUGGGGGCAACCCGUGAUCCAGCAAUGCCGCGUGUGUGAAGAAGGCCUUCGGGUUGUAAAGCACUUUUGUCCGGAAAGAAAACGCCGUGGUUAAUACCCGUGGCGGAUGACGGUACCGGAAGAAUAAGCACCGGCUAACUACGUGCCAGCAGCCGCGGUAAUACGUAGGGUGCAAGCGUUAAUCGGAAUUACUGGGCGUAAAGCGUGCGCAGGCGGUCCGCUAAGACAGAUGUGAAAUCCCCGGGCUUAACCUGGGAACUGCAUUUGUGACUGGCGGGCUAGAGUAUGGCAGAGGGGGGUAGAAUUCCACGUGUAGCAGUGAAAUGCGUAGAGAUGUGGAGGAAUACCGAUGGCGAAGGCAGCCCCCUGGGCCAAUACUGACGCUCAUGCACGAAAGCGUGGGGGAGCAAACAGGAUUAGAUACCCUGGUAGUCCACGCCCUAAACGAUGUCAACUAGUUGUCGGGUCUUCAUUGACUUGGUAACGUAGCUGAAC